UUUCCAGAGAUGGAUUGGUGCCUUCGGGAACUGUGAGACAGGUGCUGCAUGGCUGUCGUCAGCUCGUGUUGUGAAAUGUUGGGUUAAGUCCCGCAACGAGCGCAACCCUUAUCCUUUGUUGCCAGCGGUUAGGCCGGGAACUCAAAGGAGACUGCCAGUGAUAAACUGGAGGAAGGUGGGGAUGACGUCAAGUCAUCAUGGCCCUUACGACCAGGGCUACACACGUGCUACAAUGGCGCAUACAAAGAGAAGCGACCUCGCGAGAGCAAGCGGACCUCAUAAAGUGCGUCGUAGUCCGGAUUGGAGUCUGCAACUCGACUCCAUGAAGUCGGAAUCGCUAGUAAUCGUGGAUCAGAAUGCCACGGUGAAUACGCUCCCGGGCCUUGUACACACCGCCCGUCACACCAUGGGAGUGGGUUGCAAAAGAAGUAGGUAGCUUAACCUUCGGGAGGGCGCUUACCACUUUGUGAUUCAUGACUGGGGUGAAGUCGUAACAAGGUAACCGUAGGGGAACCUGCGGUUGGAUCACCUCCUUA
rnacentral:rRNA from 1 species